rnacentral:rRNA from 1 species
GGUUAAGCGACUAAGCGUACACGGUGGAUGCCCUGGCAGUCAGAGGCGAUGAAGGACGUGCUAAUCUGCGAUAAGCGUCGGUAAGGUGAUAUGAACCGUUAUAACCGGCGAUUUCCGAAUGGGGAAACCCAGUGUGAUUCGUCACACUAUCAUUAACUGAAUCCAUAGGUUAAUGAGGCGAACCGGGGGAACUGAAACAUCUAAGUACCCCGAGGAAAAGAAAUCAACCGAGAUUCCCCCAGUAGCGGCGAGCGAACGGGGAGGAGCCCAGAGCCUGAAUCAGUGUGUGUGUUAGUGGAAGCGUCUGGAAAGGCGCGCGAUACAGGGUGACAGCCCCGUACACAAAAAUGCACAUGCUGUGAGCUCGAUGAGUAGGGCGGGACACGUGGUAUCCUGUCUGAAUAUGGGGGGACCAUCCUCCAAGGCUAAAUACUCCUGACUGACCGAUAGUGAACCAGUACCGUGAGGGAAAGGCGAAAAGAACCCCGGCGAGGGGAGUGAAAAAGAACCUGAAACCGUGUACGUACAAGCAGUGGGAGCACAGAGCAAUCUGUGUGACUGCGUACCUUUUGUAUAAUGGGUCAGCGACUUAUAUUCUGUAGCAAGGUUAACCGAAUAGGGGAGCCGAAGGGAAACCGAGUCUUAACUGGGCGUUAAGUUGCAGGGUAUAGACCCGAAACCCGGUGAUCUAGCCAUGGGCAGGUUGAAGGUUGGGUAACACUAACUGGAGGACCGAACCGACUAAUGUUGAAAAAUUAGCGGAUGACUUGUGGCUGGGGGUGAAAGGCCAAUCAAACCGGGAGAUAGCUGGUUCUCCCCGAAAGCUAUUUAGGUAGCGCCUCGUGAAUUCAUCUCCGGGGGUAGAGCACUGUUUCGGCAAGGGGGUCAUCCCGACUUACCAACCCGAUGCAAACUGCGAAUACCGGAGAAUGUUAUCACGGGAGACACACGGCGGGUGCUAACGUCCGUCGUGAAGAGGGAAACAACCCAGACCGCCAGCUAAGGUCCCAAAGUCAUGGUUAAGUGGGAAACGAUGUGGGAAGGCCCAGACAGCCAGGAUGUUGGCUUAGAAGCAGCCAUCAUUUAAAGAAAGCGUAAUAGCUCACUGGUCGAGUCGGCCUGCGCGGAAGAUGUAACGGGGCUAAACCAUGCACCGAAGCUGCGGCAGCGACGCUGAUGCGUUGUUGGGUAGGGGAGCGUUCUGUAAGCCUGUGAAGGUGUGCUGUGAGGCAUGCUGGAGGUAUCAGAAGUGCGAAUGCUGACAUAAGUAACGAUAAAGCGGGUGAAAAGCCCGCUCGCCGGAAGACCAAGGGUUCCUGUCCAACGUUAAUCGGGGCAGGGUGAGUCGACCCCUAAGGCGAGGCCGAAAGGCGUAGUCGAUGGGAAACAGGUUAAUAUUCCUGUACUUGGUGUUACUGCGAAGGGGGGACGGAGAAGGCUAUGUUGGCCGGGCGACGGUUGUCCCGGUUUAAGCGUGUAGGCUGGUUUUCCAGGCAAAUCCGGAAAAUCAAGGCUGAGGCGUGAUGACGAGGCACUACGGUGCUGAAGCAACAAAUGCCCUGCUUCCAGGAAAAGCCUCUAAGCAUCAGGUAACAUCAAAUCGUACCCCAAACCGACACAGGUGGUCAGGUAGAGAAUACCAAGGCGCUUGAGAGAACUCGGGUGAAGGAACUAGGCAAAAUGGUGCCGUAACUUCGGGAGAAGGCACGCUGAUAUGUAGGUGAGGUCCCUCGCGGAUGGAGCUGAAAUCAGUCGAAGAUACCAGCUGGCUGCAACUGUUUAUUAAAAACACAGCACUGUGCAAACACGAAAGUGGACGUAUACGGUGUGACGCCUGCCCGGUGCCGGAAGGUUAAUUGAUGGGGUCAGCGCAAGCGAAGCUCUUGAUCGAAGCCCCGGUAAACGGCGGCCGUAACUAUAACGGUCCUAAGGUAGCGAAAUUCCUUGUCGGGUAAGUUCCGACCUGCACGAAUGGCGUAAUGAUGGCCAGGCUGUCUCCACCCGAGACUCAGUGAAAUUGAACUCGCUGUGAAGAUGCAGUGUACCCGCGGCAAGACGGAAAGACCCCGUGAACCUUUACUAUAGCUUGACACUGAACAUUGAGCCUUGAUGUGUAGGAUAGGUGGGAGGCUUUGAAGUGUGGACGCCAGUCUGCAUGGAGCCGGCCUUGAAAUACCACCCUUUAAUGUUUGAUGUUCUAACGUUGGCCCCUGAUCGGGGUUGCGGACAGUGUCUGGUGGGUAGUUUGACUGGGGCGGUCUCCUCCUAAAGAGUAACGGAGGAGCACGAAGGUUGGCUAAUCCUGGUCGGACAUCAGGAGGUUAGUGCAAUGGCAUAAGCCAGCUUGACUGCGAGCGUGACGGCGCGAGCAGGUGCGAAAGCAGGUCAUAGUGAUCCGGUGGUUCUGAAUGGAAGGGCCAUCGCUCAACGGAUAAAAGGUACUCCGGGGAUAACAGGCUGAUACCGCCCAAGAGUUCAUAUCGACGGCGGUGUUUGGCACCUCGAUGUCGGCUCAUCACAUCCUGGGGCUGAAGUAGGUCCCAAGGGUAUGGCUGUUCGCCAUUUAAAGUGGUACGCGAGCUGGGUUUAGAACGUCGUGAGACAGUUCGGUCCCUAUCUGCCGUGGGCGCUGGAGAACUGAGGGGGGCUGCUCCUAGUACGAGAGGACCGGAGUGGACGCAUCACUGGUGUUCGGGUUGUCAUGCCAAUGGCACUGCCCGGUAGCUAAAUGCGGAAGAGAUAAGUGCUGAAAGCAUCUAAGCACGAAACUUGCCCCGAGAUGAGUUCUCCCUGACUCCUUGAGAGUCCUGAAGGAACGUUGAAGACGACGACGUUGAUAGGCCGGGUGUGUAAGCGCAGCGAUGCGUUGAGCUAACCGGUACUAAUGAACCGUGAGGCUUAACCUU